UACGAGAGCCUCGAGCGUUAUCCGGAAUUAUUGGGCGUAAAGGGUGCGUAGGUUGUUCUGUUAGUCUUUUGUCAAAGACCCGGGCUUAACUUGGGGAACGCGAAAGAAACGGCAGAACUUGAAAGUGCGAGAGGUGUACGGAACUCAUGGUGUAGGGGUGAAAUCCGUUGAUAUCAUGGGGAACACCAAAUGCGAAGGCAGUACACUGGCGCAUAUUUGACACUGAAGCACGAAAGCGUGGGUAGCGAAUGGG
rnacentral:rRNA from 1 species